rnacentral:rRNA from 1 species
GGGUUGUGAGGUUAAGCGACUAAGCGUACACGGUGGAUGCCCUGGCAGUCAGAGGCGAUGAAGGACGUGCUAAUCUGCGAUAAGCGUCGGUAAGGUGAUAUGAACCGUUAUAACCGGCGAUUUCCGAAUGGGGAAACCCAGUGUGAUUCGUCACACUAUCAUUAACUGAAUCCAUAGGUUAAUGAGGCGAACCGGGGGAACUGAAACAUCUAAGUACCCCGAGGAAAAGAAAUCAACCGAGAUUCCCCCAGUAGCGGCGAGCGAACGGGGAGCAGCCCAGAGCCUGAAUCAGUGUGUGUGUUAGUGGAAGCGUCUGGAAAGGCGCGCGAUACAGGGUGACAGCCCCGUACACAAAAAUGCACAUGCUGUGAGCUCGAUGAGUAGGGCGGGACACGUGGUAUCCUGUCUGAAUAUGGGGGGACCAUCCUCCAAGGCUAAAUACUCCUGACUGACCGAUAGUGAACCAGUACCGUGAGGGAAAGGCGAAAAGAACCCCGGCGAGGGGAGUGAAAAAGAACCUGAAACCGUGUACGUACAAGCAGUGGGAGCACGCUUAGGCGUGUGACUGCGUACCUUUUGUAUAAUGGGUCAGCGACUUAUAUUCUGUAGCAAGGUUAACCGAAUAGGGGAGCCGAAGGGAAACCGAGUCUUAACUGGGCGUUAAGUUGCAGGGUAUAGACCCGAAACCCGGUGAUCUAGCCAUGGGCAGGUUGAAGGUUGGGUAACACUAACUGGAGGACCGAACCGACUAAUGUUGAAAAAUUAGCGGAUGACUUGUGGCUGGGGGUGAAAGGCCAAUCAAACCGGGAGAUAGCUGGUUCUCCCCGAAAGCUAUUUAGGUAGCGCCUCGUGAAUUCAUCUCCGGGGGUAGAGCACUGUUUCGGCAAGGGGGUCAUCCCGACUUACCAACCCGAUGCAAACUGCGAAUACCGGAGAAUGUUAUCACGGGAGACACACGGCGGGUGCUAACGUCCGUCGUGAAGAGGGAAACAACCCAGACCGCCAGCUAAGGUCCCAAAGUCAUGGUUAAGUGGGAAACGAUGUGGGAAGGCCCAGACAGCCAGGAUGUUGGCUUAGAAGCAGCCAUCAUUUAAAGAAAGCGUAAUAGCUCACUGGUCGAGUCGGCCUGCGCGGAAGAUGUAACGGGGCUAAACCAUGCACCGAAGCUGCGGCAGCGACGCUGAUGCGUUGUUGGGUAGGGGAGCGUUCUGUAAGCCUGCGAAGGUGUGCUGUGAGGCAUGCUGGAGGUAUCAGAAGUGCGAAUGCUGACAUAAGUAACGAUAAAGCGGGUGAAAAGCCCGCUCGCCGGAAGACCAAGGGUUCCUGUCCAACGUUAAUCGGGGCAGGGUGAGUCGACCCCUAAGGCGAGGCCGAAAGGCGUAGUCGAUGGGAAACAGGUUAAUAUUCCUGUACUUGGUGUUACUGCGAAGGGGGGACGGAGAAGGCUAUGUUGGCCGGGCGACGGUUGUCCCGGUUUAAGCGUGUAGGCUGGUUUUCCAGGCAAAUCCGGAAAAUCAAGGCUGAGGCGUGAUGACGAGGCACUACGGUGCUGAAGCAACAAAUGCCCUGCUUCCAGGAAAAGCCUCUAAGCAUCAGGUAACAUCAAAUCGUACCCCAAACCGACACAGGUGGUCAGGUAGAGAAUACCAAGGCGCUUGAGAGAACUCGGGUGAAGGAACUAGGCAAAAUGGUGCCGUAACUUCGGGAGAAGGCACGCUGAUAUGUAGGUGAAGUCCCUCGCGGAUGGAGCUGAAAUCAGUCGAAGAUACCAGCUGGCUGCAACUGUUUAUUAAAAACACAGCACUGUGCAAACACGAAAGUGGACGUAUACGGUGUGACGCCUGCCCGGUGCCGGAAGGUUAAUUGAUGGGGUCAGCGCAAGCGAAGCUCUUGAUCGAAGCCCCGGUAAACGGCGGCCGUAACUAUAACGGUCCUAAGGUAGCGAAAUUCCUUGUCGGGUAAGUUCCGACCUGCACGAAUGGCGUAAUGAUGGCCAGGCUGUCUCCACCCGAGACUCAGUGAAAUUGAACUCGCUGUGAAGAUGCAGUGUACCCGCGGCAAGACGGAAAGACCCCGUGAACCUUUACUAUAGCUUGACACUGAACAUUGAGCCUUGAUGUGUAGGAUAGGUGGGAGGCUUUGAAGUGUGGACGCCAGUCUGCAUGGAGCCGACCUUGAAAUACCACCCUUUAAUGUUUGAUGUUCUAACGUUGACCCGUGAUCCGGGUUGCGGACAGUGUCUGGUGGGUAGUUUGACUGGGGCGGUCUCCUCCUAAAGAGUAACGGAGGAGCACGAAGGUUGGCUAAUCCUGGUCGGACAUCAGGAGGUUAGUGCAAUGGCAUAAGCCAGCUUGACUGCGAGCGUGACGGCGCGAGCAGGUGCGAAAGCAGGUCAUAGUGAUCCGGUGGUUCUGAAUGGAAGGGCCAUCGCUCAACGGAUAAAAGGUACUCCGGGGAUAACAGGCUGAUACCGCCCAAGAGUUCAUAUCGACGGCGGUGUUUGGCACCUCGAUGUCGGCUCAUCACAUCCUGGGGCUGAAGUAGGUCCCAAGGGUAUGGCUGUUCGCCAUUUAAAGUGGUACGCGAGCUGGGUUUAGAACGUCGUGAGACAGUUCGGUCCCUAUCUGCCGUGGGCGCUGGAGAACUGAGGGGGGCUGCUCCUAGUACGAGAGGACCGGAGUGGACGCAUCACUGGUGUUCGGGUUGUCAUGCCAAUGGCACUGCCCGGUAGCUAAAUGCGGAAGAGAUAAGUGCUGAAAGCAUCUAAGCACGAAACUUGCCCCGAGAUGAGUUCUCCCUGACUCCUUGAGAGUCCUGAAGGAACGUUGAAGACGACGACGUUGAUAGGCCGGGUGUGUAAGCGCAGCGAUGCGUUGAGCUAACCGGUACUAAUGAACCGUGAGGCUUAACCUUACAACGCCGAAGGUGUUU